UUGUUUUAUUAAAUUUCUUUACUAUGCUGGGGAAAAAAAAGAAGAAAAAACCAUCAAUGGAGUAGCCUGUAAGUUAUAUUAUACAACUCUUGCUUGAGGGAAGCGAAGUAGCAAGAAGGACAUCGAGAGAGAGCUCAACAUGCAUCUUGUUUGUCUUUUUUAUGUGUUACUACCAGUCUGCGUCCUAAGAUUCAUACACUCAAUGAUAUGGGUUCCAUGGAGAAUCCAUGUGCAUUUUAGAAAGCAAGGCAUCAGUGGUCCAAACUACCGCCCGAUCUUUGGGAACACAGAAGAGUAUCGUAAUUCAUUUACUGAAGCACGGAAGAAAACAAUGCCUUUUAACCACAAUAUUGUCCAUCGGGUAACCCCAUUUUACCACGAGUGGUCACGCAAGUAUGGGAAGACGUUCCUCUACUGGUUUGGAGUCAUUCCCAUAUUGGCUACAGCUGAUCUUGACAUGAUUAAGGACAUUUUCAUGAACACAGGUGGUGGAUCAUUUGAGAAGGUAAGGCUUAACCCUCAGGCUAAGCUGCUCUUCGGACAGGGGCUUAAUGGUUUGGUCGGCGAGGAGUGGGCUAUUCAUAGGAGGAUCGCCAACCAGGCUUUUAUGAUGGAGCGGAUUAAGUGUUGGGGGCUAGAUAUUAUGGCGAGCACUAUGAAGAUGCUAACAAAGUGGGAGGAAAUAAGAGGAGAAAGAGAUGAGUUUGAGAUGGAUGUACAUAGAGAACUUCAAGACCUUGCAUCAGACGUUAUAUCUAAAACAGCUUUUGGAAGCAAUUAUGAGGAGGGGAAGCGAGUAUUCUCGUUACAGGACAAACAGAAGCACCUUGUCUUCGAUGCUAUAGGAAAUGUCUACAUCCCAGGUUUCAGGUUUUUGCCCACCAAGAAGAACAGAGAAAGGUGGAGAAUAGAGAGGGAAACUCGUGAAGCAAUAAGGAAUCUGAUCAAAACUAACAGCAAAGCAAGAGAAAAUUCAAGAAAUCUACUUAGUUUACUGAUGUCUUCUUAUAAAAAUCAAGAUGGGAAGGAAGAGAAAUUGGGGGUUGAGGAGAUUAUAAACGAAUGCAAGGCCUUCUACUUUGCAGGAAAGGAAUCCAUGGCAGAUCUUUUGACUUGGGCACUUCUCCUUUUAGCACAGCAUCAGGAAUGGCAAGACAAGGCACGAGAAGAAGUGUUAUCUGUCUGCAGAGGAAAUGAAGUUCUACUUUCAGAGAAUGUAAACGAUCUUAAGAUUAUGAACUUGAUAAUCCAUGAAACACUUCGGCUUUACCCUCCAGCAGUGAUGUUGAUGAGGCAAACAACCAAAAACGUUAAGUUGGGAACCCUUGAUGUUCCUGCUGGCACACAAUUUUUCUUGGCCCUGCCUUCUAUUCAUCAUGACACUGAUACAUGGGGAAAAGAUGCUAACGAGUUCAAUCCGCUGAGGUUCAACGAGCCUAGAAGUCACCUGGCUUCAUUUUUUCCAUUUGGGCUAGGUCCUAGAAUCUGUGUUGGUAAAAAUUUAGCCGUUAUGGAAGCAAAAGUUGCUCUGGCCAUGAUAUUAAGGCGUUACUCUUUCGUAGUGUCCCCCACCUACCUUCAUGCUCCAAGACUCCUGAUAAGCAUGCAGCCUCAGUAUGGUGCGCAACUCCUCCUCCGCCGGAUUACAAGUUAAAAAUUGAGAGCGUUGUCUGUUGUCUGUUGUCUGUGGUCUGGUGUCUUAAUUUGUGCUUAUAGUAUUGGAAUUUCAGUAACCCUCUAGGCUGUAUAAUGUGGUGUUAGGUAUCCUAUUUUAUUUGACAGAAUUGAAGUGUGUUAUAUUUGAUAAAAUUGUUGGAUGGCAUUAAUUUUCUGGUUUA